AUUUAAAUGUAAGAUAUUUCAAUAUAUAAAAAUGUAUUUAUUUUAAAUAUAUUUCGAUCUAUGUGACUUCUGUAUGGGUGUGUCUGAGAAACUGAUGCUGUUCCACUGAAACACCUCUGUUUUACAUUAUAAAUAAAAUCUGUUAUAUCAAACCUUUUCUCUGAUUUCAUGCUGGAGAUAAUAAUACAUUAAUAACCCUACAAGGCUGAUGUACAAAUCUGCAGGUGUUGAUCAUGCUAAUGUUGUUUGAAGACAACUGCAAUUACAAACAAAUGGUGCUUACAUUUACCAUUGGACAAUUAAUAACAUCACAGCAUGUCUAAUGACUGUUGAAUAUUUGCUUGUAUUUGAGUUUUUGAGUAAUCUCUGGACCUAAUAAAAGUUAAUUUUCAUUGACAAACAUAGUUCAUUGUAUAACAGUAAAAUAAUGAGGCUUACAAGAUUUUGCCUCUGGCACUAGAAUAUGCAUCCAACUAAAAUAUUAAACUGUCUUCCCACACAAAAAUUAACCAUGGUUUUAUUAUACUAAAGUGGAGUAUUGAUUUUGAUGUAUUGAUAACCCGUUCUAUAACCACAGUUUUACUAUACACACGAUGGUUAAACUCUUCAACAACUGCUUGAAAUGUUUGGCGUGUGAAGGACUUUUAUUUUGGUACGCCGCUGUGACGUCAUAAGGCAGCGUCGCGCUCCUGUCUGUUGUGAUUCGGCUGAAGAAGGAUUGUCCAAACAGACAGAAAAACUCCUGAGAUCCACACACUUUUAUAAAGAUGGAGUUUAUUAAAGAGGAGAGAGAAGAUGUGAAGAUUGAAGAAACAUUGAGAGUCAAACAAGAAGAUACUGAGGAACAAACAGGUUGGUUUUCA